rnacentral:rRNA from 1 species
AUGAACGCUAGCUACAGGCUUAACACAUGCAAGUCGAGGGGCAUCAGGAAGAAAGCUUGCUUUCUUUGCUGGCGACCGGCGCACGGGUGAGUAACACGUAUCCAACCUGCCCUUUACUCGGGGAUAGCCUUUCGAAAGAAAGAUUAAUACCCGAUGGCAUAAUGAUUCCGCAUGGUUUCAUUAUUAAAGGAUUCCGGUAAAGGAUGGGGAUGCGUUCCAUUAGGUUGUUGGUGAGGUAACGGCUCACCAAGCCUUCGAUGGAUAGGGGUUCUGAGAGGAAGGUCCCCCACAUUGGAACUGAGACACGGUCCAAACUCCUACGGGAGGCAGCAGUGAGGAAUAUUGGUCAAUGGGCGCUAGCCUGAACCAGCCAAGUAGCGUGAAGGAUGAAGGCUCUAUGGGUCGUAAACUUCUUUUAUAUAAGAAUAAAGUGCAGUAUGUAUACUGUUUUGUAUGUAUUAUAUGAAUAAGGAUCGGCUAACUCCGUGCCAGCAGCCGCGGUAAUACGGAGGAUCCGAGCGUUAUCCGGAUUUAUUGGGUUUAAAGGGAGCGUAGGUGGACUGGUAAGUCAGUUGUGAAAGUUUGCGGCUCAACCGUAAAAUUGCAGUUGAUACUGUCAGUCUUGAGUACAGUAGAGGUGGGCGGAAUUCGUGGUGUAGCGGUGAAAUGCUUAGAUAUCACGAAGAACUCCGAUUGCGAAGGCAGCUCACUGGACUGCAACUGACACUGAUGCUCGAAAGUGUGGGUAUCAAACAGGAUUAGAUACCCUGGUAGUCCACACAGUAAACGAUGAAUACUCGCUGUUUGCGAUAUACAGUAAGCGGCCAAGCGAAAGCAUUAAGUAUUCCACCUGGGGAGUACGCCGGCAACGGUGAAACUCAAAGGAAUUGACGGGGGCCCGCACAAGCGGAGGAACAUGUGGUUUAAUUCGAUGAUACGCGAGGAACCUUACCCGGGCUUAAAUUGCAGUGGAAUGAUGUGGAAACAUGUCAGUGAGCAAUCACCGCUGUGAAGGUGCUGCAUGGUUGUCGUCAGCUCGUGCCGUGAGGUGUCGGCUUAAGUGCCAUAACGAGCGCAACCCUUAUCUUUAGUUACUAACAGGUCAUGCUGAGGACUCUGGAGAGACUGCCGUCGUAAGAUGUGAGGAAGGUGGGGAUGACGUCAAAUCAGCACGGCCCUUACGUCCGGGGCUACACACGUGUUACAAUGGGGGGUACAGAAGGCAGCUAGCGGGUGACCGUAUGCUAAUCCCAAAAGCCUCUCUCAGUUCGGAUCGAAGUCUGCAACCCGACUUCGUGAAGCUGGAUUCGCUAGUAAUCGCGCAUCAGCCACGGCGCGGUGAAUACGUUCCCGGGCCUUGUACACACCGCCCGUCAAGCCAUGGGAGCCGGGGGUGCCUGAAGUACGUAACCGCAAGGAGCGUCCUAGGGUAAAACUGGUGACUGGGGCU